rnacentral:rRNA from 1 species
UCCUACGGGAGGCAGCAGUGAGGAAUAUUGGUCAAUGGGCGGAAGCCUGAACCAGCCAAGUCGCGUGAAGGAUGAAGGUAUUAUGUAUUGUAAACUUCUUUAGCAGUGGAGAAAUAAGGGAGUCGAGACUCCUGAUGCUAGUACACUGAGAAUAAGGAUCGGCUAACUCCGUGCCAGCAGCCGCGGUAAAUACGGAGGAUCCGAGC